rnacentral:rRNA from 1 species
AUGUCACCAUAUGGCGGCAACCUGCAGUUCCAGACCUUCUCGACAGAGCAUGGCGCGUGGGGCCUCUACACCGAGACCUGGCUUCCUAACCUACAAAGCAGGUUUCAACGAAGCCUCGGCAAGGCCCUGGUCAACGCCGGCGAUGUGCACUGGAUAUGCCAGACUGACACCAGAUCCUACGUCCUCAGGCUCCGCGUCAAAGCAGCAAAGGUGUUGGUGACGAAGCUCCCGAAAGGGUUCGCACACAACGAAGAGCAUCAAAAACUUCUGGCAACAUCGUCGGUGAGUGGGGAUGUGCUCGUGCUUGUCGCCCACGAUGAUAAGAUAUCGGCUUGGGCACAAUCACAACAUACAGCCAAGUGGAAGCAACGACCACAUGUGGUGAUCAACAUGACGGAGACAAUUUUGCGGUUCCUUGACAAGGCAGGCGGGAGCUGCAUUCCACCGACGAAGCCAGUCAAAUUCAACCUAGUGUGGUUCGCUCAGAGGAGUGGCAUCGUCCUCAUCAAUGCAUGUAGCGGUUCCUUUUGGCUCGACCUGCAGUCCACGGAGAUCGUGAGGUGGUUCUCGGAUAAUAGGGUCCCAUACACAACCCAGAAUAUCCCCUUUGAAAUGAGUUUGACGGCUUGGGUUCCAACAUUCAGUAGCACUUUGUGA